UUCCAUUUUCAGACAUGUGGG
rnacentral:siRNA from 1 species